UACGGGGGGGGCAAGCGUUGUUCGGAAUUACUGGGCGUAAAGGGCUCGUAGGUGGCCAACUAAGUCAUGCGUGAAAUCCCUCGGCUUAACCGGGGAACUGCGUUUGAUACUGGAUGGCUUGAGAUUGGGAGAGGGAUGCAGAAUUCCAGGUGUAGCGGUGAAAUGCGUAGAUAUCUGGAGGAACACCGGUGGCGAAGGCGGCAUCCUGGACCAACACUGACGCUGAGGAGCGAAAGCCAGGGGAGCAAACGGG
rnacentral:rRNA from 1 species